rnacentral:rRNA from 1 species
AACGAACGCUGGCGGCAGGCCUAACACAUGCAAGUCGAACGCCCCGCAAGGGGAGUGGCAGACGGGUGAGUAACGCGUGGGAACAUGCCCUUUGGUUAGGAAUAACUCAGGGAAACUUGAGCUAAUACCGGAUAAGCCCGAGAGGGGAAAGAUUUAUCGCCGAAGGAUUGGCCCGCGUCCGAUUAGCUAGUUGGUGAGGUAACGGCCCACCAAGGCGACGAUCGGUAGCUGGUCUGAGAGGAUGAUCAGCCACACUGGGACUGAGACACGGCCCAGACUCCUACGGGAGGCAGCAGUGGGGAAUAUUGGACAAUGGGCGCAAGCCUGAUCCAGCCAUGCCGCGUGAGUGAUGAAGGCCCUAGGGUUGUAAAGCUCUUUCGCCAGGGACGAUAAUGACGGUACCUGGAUAAGAAGCCCCGGCUAACUUCGUGCCAGCCGCCGCGGUAA